GAUGAACGCUGGCGGCGUGCCUAAUACAUGCCAGUCGAGCGAACGGACGAGAAGCUUGCUUCUCUGAUGUUAGCGGCGGACGGGUGAGUAACACGUGGAUAACCUACCUAUAAGACUGGGAUAACUUCGGGAAACCGUAGCUAAUACCGGAUAAUAUUUUGAACCGCAUGGUUCAAAAGUGAAAGACAGUCUUGCUGUCACUUAUAGAUGGAUCCGCGCUGCAUUAGCUAGUUGGUAAGGUAACGGCUUACCAAGGCAACGAUGCAUAGCCGACCUGAGAGGGUGAUCGGCCACACUGGAACUGAGACACGGUCCAGACUCCUACGGGAGGCAGCAGUAGGGAAUCUUCCGCAAUGGGCGAAAGCCUGACGGAGCAACGCCGCGUGAGUGAUGAAGGUCUUCGGAUCGUAAAACUCUGUUAUUAGGGAAGAACAUAUGUGUAAGUAACUGUGCACAUCUUGACGGUACCUAAUCAGAAAGCCACGGCUAACUACGUG
rnacentral:rRNA from 1 species